rnacentral:lncRNA from 1 species
GUUCGGCUGGAGAAAGCUUGAUCAUUUCUGUGUAGGACCUCUUUUGCAGUUUCUGAAGAGGAAAUGACUAUGGUAGCAAUACUCCCAAGCUUGAGAGACAUUACAGGACCAUAAGUUUUGGAGAGAUUUGCAAGUGAUCGAUGGGGUUUGUCCCCAAGUUUGAGGAUGUUGCCGAUGAUUGGCAAAGGCCGGGGGCCUGGAGGGAGGCUGGCUGUACCAGGUUUCCGGCCAAUCGGACUGAGUUUGAGGAGAUGAAUGCAUGUCCACACAAAGGAAAGCAAAAGCAAAAAUGUUAUGUAAUCCAUUGUCUACUUCUUUUCACUCUUUUCCUCUCUUCUCUUGUUUAUGAGACACGGGAUUCUCCCUAUCGUCUCUGGUAUCUGUAUGGAAACAUGUGGACCAUGAAAUACUAAUCAACAAAACAAUGGUCUACUUUUUAAUUUCUUAUUUGGCUUUAGUGUUAUUUUCAUGAAAAAUCAAGGACGGACCACAGCCAACUUAAUAAACCCGUGAGUGAUUCUGCUACGAAACAACACCAACCAUGGAAAACAAAAUAAUGCUGCAAAACUAACAUAUAACACUGUUAAAAAAAAUCACCAUUCACAGACAAAGCCUUUUACCCAUACAAAUAUACACUAAAGGAAAAAUAUUUAUACAAUAAUCAUGUACGCUUGUCUUUAUGGGUCUUUACUAAUCCUCAAAACUUCUCUUUAUAAGUCAUAUAACCUUUUCUUGGCUUAAUGAAGAUGAGUUUUCAUUCUUCACUUUAAUUUUAAAAGUUAAUAAUCAUUUUUAAACAAAUUUUAAAAUAGAAAACUAACACACCUACAAGCUAUCAAUUUCUCAUUCUUGUUUAUCAAACCAACAACAUUUAUGUUUUACAUAGAAAAAUCAUAUAUAUAUAUAUAUAUAUAUAUACCAAUGUCAUUAAAAAUAUUCUUUUUCUUCUUAUUGUUAUAUAUAUAUAUAUAUAUAUAUAUAUAUAUAUAUACCAAACAUAAUUUUGUUUUUAUUUUUAAAAUAAAAAUAGAAUUAGAAUAUACAAAUUUAAUUAAACAAUUUUUAGUUUUCUACUUCUAGAAAUAGUAAAAAGAUCAAGAUCGUACAUUCCAAUAAUUUUUACUUAUUUAUAAUCUUUGGUGAAAAUAAAAAUGAAAUAAAGCCUGAAAGAUUAGGAUGUGAUGUCAAUAUGAUCAAUACUUGAGUUGUAAGUUGGCAUGGGGUUUAAUUAAAUAAAUUAUGGUAUAUAAUUAAUUAAUGGGCUUGGUCUUGUCUUAACGGACGAAACCACUUAGAGGAAGUGUGAAUAGGUAAGAAUAACUUUCUAACAUCGAUCUCCCUCCUCGUUAGGAUCCAAUCAAUGAAGUAGGCUACUGCUAUAUGAACCUGGAUGCGAUGUGAGGCAGUAUAGAAUGUACUACACUCAAAAAUACCAAAUUGUCAAGCUGGUUUGAUCACAUCAAUCAAUGGAAUACAUAUGGGUAAGAGACAAGCCUCCUCAUAAAAAGCAUGAGCAAUAGCCGCACACUCAACUCGUAAGAGGGUCAGGAUAUUAGAAACCAUAGGAGGAUCAAUGCCUUAAUAUAGACACACAUCCCCAAGUCAAUUUUUGACAAAUCUAUCAAGAAGACACAACAAAGUCUAAACCAUUUAUCAAAACACUAAAAUAUACUCUAGGAAUAUACUAAUAAUGGAUGUUAUCAUAGAACAUCCAAGUGCAGUGAUUAGGGUAUAUAGCCAUUUGAAUAGACAUAAUAGCCUUCCACCUCUAGUCAUAGACAAUGUAGGGAAUACGAGUACCCAAACUUAGAAAAAAUCAUAUAGCACACUUUGGCUCAACAUGUCUCUCAAAGAUUAUAUCAUAGAAUGCAAUCCUAUGUUUCAUAAAAUAGAAAUAAUGAAUGGGAAGGUUAUAUUGUAUAGGAUUGAUGAAUAGGUGUCCUAACAUGAGGAGACCUAGAAUGAGAAGCAGCCUACUUCUAGACCCACCUCUACCACAAGUCAUAGGAAAAAUAAGAGAAAAUUUUGGGAAUAGAAAUUAAUCUAGGAAAGUGUGCGAUCAAAAGUGUCCUAAACAUUGAGCUUAGAGGCCCAUUAAAGUCAAAUAUAAAGAGAAAUUGCAAGAAAAUCUUAUGAAGGAAGAGCAACGAAUGUUAGAAGAGAAAGGAGAUAAAAAUGGAGGCAUAUAGUGAAUAUCAAGUGUUGGUGCACUUUUAAAAUUAAGGACAUUCGAAUAUCUCAUAAAGAGUGUGUAGACCCUUAAUUUUAUUCAUAUUUAUAUGAUAUAAGCUUAUUUAGAUGUAGUCUUUUGACUUACCAUUUCUCUUGACUUUAUUUUAUUCCAUUUUAUAAUUAUUUUUAUUUAACUUUUUCACUUUUAUUCUCUAUUCUUUCUCAGUUCUUCCUUACCUUGCUUUUCUUUCUCUCCACACAUCACCAUACGUGCACCAUGAUUACACUUCCAUUAAUUUCUAAAGAAACAAACAAUUUCCUCCAUUUGUUUUUUAGAAAGGAAUGCGGGUAUAUCUAAGCCAAACUAGAAGUGGGACUUGUGUUGUUGAGUGAUCAUUGUACAUUCAAAUCUAACAAUAAGAUACUGGAGUCCUCCGCGUUAAUUAAUUUUCCAGAUGAUAUAUUGUUUGUCAACAUAAUGUUUGGGAAACACCCCAAUUUGCCACUUAGUUGGCCAAUCUCUACCAUCCUACCAAACACAUUUCUUUUUCUUUCCUUCACUCACUGUUUUACAAAUCUACUUGCAGGGUAACUUUCAACAAUGAAGGAUGGACCACAGCCAAAAGAACGGAUUGUACUAUAGCGCAUGGAAAACAAUAAUGCUGGAAACUAUCUUUCCUUUUUCUCACUGUUUUUCAAAUCUACUUGUUGGGUCGCUUUAAAAAAAAUGAAGGAUGGACCAUAGGCGGAGCUAGAAAAUGACCUGAGAGGGGCCAAAAUAUGAGAACAUAUUUCAGAGGGACAUAAAUGAUUGAAUUUACCUAGUGAUGUAGUGGCAAUGAAAGAUAUUUUUAUUCUUUUCCUAGGUGGGACAAGCACCAUGUGGCUCUGCUCCUGGAUGAACCACAACCAAAAGAAAGGACAAACCGACAUUGCUUGUACUGUAACACUUAGCAUGGAAAACAAUAAUGCAUGUUUUAAAAACUGAUCAAUCAAAGCCUGGUCCAGUUCGAUUCACAUGUUGAGCUGAAGCCAAGGAACCUACUGAACAGAGGUUGAGAUGGACCAAAAAUACCACAUACCACAAAUCUAUAGUAUGGGACCAUUGAUCGAAGAUUCAAAGAAAUGACUGUGCAACCACUAGAUCUAGUGCUAGUUUUGUUAUAUAACAGUUGCAUUAUUAGCUAAAUUUAUCCUACUUAUUUAUGUAAUAAUAAAUUUGAAAAAAUAAUAUAAGCAAAAUAACCUACUAUCUUUUAAAACUAUAAAAUAAUCUAAUAUUUAAUAUGUAAAUAAAGUUAAAUAAUAUUAUAUAUAUAUAUAUAAUAUAAAAUAUGAAAAUGUUAGCUGACUUAUUUCAUGAGCAUUUUUGUUUCAGUCAUCUAAAAAAAUUAACUCUGUUAUUGUUAAACUAUGAUUCCCUGCAAUAAAAACACUACAUUAAACCAUGAUUUCGAUUACUCUGAUGAGCAUAUUCCUCCUUAGUUCUUUCAUCUAUAUUGUAGCACAAGACUAUUACAACUUCUAUCCACCCUUUUAGCUGUUUCUCAUGCAAGUGACACAACAGAGAAAAAACAAAGGUCCCACCUAUUGUACCUAAAUCCUUCUUUAUUUAUAUCAUGAUUUUAUAUAUUUAUACUACCGUUUAGUAAUUAUAUUUUAUCAAAUAUUUUGAAAACCUUGGGUGGGUAUUAGGUAAUAAUAGGGUACAUAAACAACAUAGAAGUUGCAUUCAUUAAAACAUAAAAAUACAAUCAAACUUUGAUUGGAAUAGCCCGUAGAGGCUGGACCUUGUGUAAUGUCAACCCCAAUUUCUCAUUCAUGUCCAUAUCUGCUGGUUUCAUACCAUCGUCAAGCUUCCAAGCAUAGGAAUGAAGAAGAGAGGCCAAUAUCAGGUGCACCAUCCUAUGAGCUAAUGGCAGUCCAAGACAUAUUCUUCUUCCCGCACCAAAUGGAAUCAACUCAAAAUCCCGGCCUUUGACAUCAAUAUCACACCCCAAAAACCUCUCAGGUACGAAUGCAUUUGGGUUCGACCAAGUGCUUGGAUCUCGACCGAUAGCCCAUACAUUAACUAGUACUUGGGAAUUCUUUGGAACUGUGAAGCCGCGUAUUUCUACAUCAGAUUCAGCUUUAUGGGGAGCUAGCAGUGGGCCUGGUGGGUGCAACCUAAAGGUCUCUUUGACUAUGGCUUGAAAGUAAGGGAGCUUUGAGAUGUCUGAUUCUUGAACUAUCCCAUCCUUGCCAAGGACUUCUUGGAGCUCCCUUUGAGCUUUUGCCAUUUUUUCCGGGUUGUGUAGUAGCUCUGCCAUUGCCCACUCUAUUGUGCCUGAAGUGGUGUCAGUUCCCGCAAGAAAGAGAUCCUGAUCACACAAAGCAGCGUUAGAAUUAAGGUUCCAUUGAUCAUCGUUUACAAAUAUGCAGUUACCAACGUUUCCUACACGAAAUCUCAAGAAAAAUUGUACAAGAAAUAACUACAAGGAAGACUAACUUCUAAUUGAUUGUUUACUCAAGUGUUUAGGUCAAUUUCAGUUUAAUAACUUAACCAAUUUCACAGUUAAAAGUUAAAAGGAAAUGCAAUUGCAGGUACAUAAUAUAGAUACUUCAGUGGAGAAGUUACCAAGGAUUAGAUAGAAUGAUUUAUAAAUUAUUCCAAAAGUCACUAAAGCCAUUCUUCAUCAAAAUUAGGUUGUAGUUCAGCUAAAAGAUUGAGAAAUUCAAUCUUCUCGUGUGUGUAUAUAUAGGUGUUACUAUUGAAUGAAAUCCAUAUAUGCAGGAGGCAUUUAAAUAAGGAACUUAAAUUAUUCCAUAAUAUAUAUGAACUAGAUUCUUCAAUUCCAACGAAAGAGUAAAUCAUUACAAAUAGUAUCAUAGUCAACCUCAUUGGAGGAGUUUGUUUGGUCUUGCAUAAAUGUCUUAAUUUUGUAUAAUAACUACAACAUGGGAGGAAAGGUGUGGGUCUUAUAGUUAAAAGAUGACCAUACAAAUGUAUUUUGAAGCAAAGAUUGAGAUUCAAGAAAGCCAUGUCACUUUCUUGAAUUCCAUAAAAUAGUUUUACAUCUUUUAUGAAGUAAGCUUAUACUCUAAAAUGCAAUGUAAUGAAUGCAAAAGGUAGUUAAUAUGAUAUCUCAAAUCAAAGAAAGGAAAAAGUUUUAAUGCUAUAUAUGUUUGGAUUUUUUUUAAUUUUGUGGACGCGUUUUAAAAUCGUGAAAAAACAAUUGUUAUAAAUAAUAUCAACCCCAAGGUAAAGUUUGUUUGGCUAUAUAUGCAAGGGGUGUCUAUUUCUUGGCACUAUAUAUAUCUUAACUUUGAAUAAUAUCUUCAUGGGAAGGAGCAGGGCUCUAUCUACUGACACUAUAUAUAUGUCUUCACUUUGUAUAAUAUCUACAUGGAAGGAAGCAACGAAUGUAUGAGCUCUUUUUAACCUUGUAAAAAAUAAUAUCUACUUAGCUUGUAGACUACGAUAUCUACUUGAGAGGUACUAGUACAUCGUAUCAAAUGUAUAGUGAAGCAAAGAUUGAGAUAUGGUACUCACCAUAAGCAAAUGUAUAAUAUCUCUGCAGCUCCACUCUUGGUUAUUUUCUUCUGUGAGAUUGAGGAAGGCAUCUAGUACAUCGUUGCUUGCUGAUGAAGCUUUUGAUUGCAACCUUUGAUUGAUUAUACCUUCAAAAAUAUGAAUCAAUUUAUCGAGAUGAAUCUUCAUGUUUUGCUGUAUACCUUGUGGGUCAAUCAAUUUAAAGGCCGGGAAAUAAUCUGCAAAAUUGGGUCUUCCAGCGUCUUCCAUCACACGCCAUACAAUAUCCUUGAACUCUUGUGAAAAAGUAGAGGCGUGAUGAACCAAAUUAAUGGAGAAAAUGGUGUUUGAUAACAAAUUAAGGCUUGCUGUGAAGGUUGCUGCACCAAUAUCGACUGCACAACCCCUACCGCAACAUUCUUCCGCAUGGUCCAGCAGUUCCUGUACUAUUUUUCUCCUAAGGCCUUGGCUGGCUUCAAGCCGCUGCACCGAAAACAUUUCCCUGGUGCAUAUCUUCCUAAUCUUUCGCCAAUAAGCAGAUGCCGGACUCCAUACUACCGAAGAUUCAUGAUGGUUAUGGGCUUUGACGGCAUCUAGAACUACUCGGCCAGAGAAGGCUUGAUUAUUUCUGUGUAGGACCUCUUUGGCAGUUUCAGAAGAGGAAAUGACUAUGGUGGAAACACUCCCAAGCUUGAGAGACAUUACAGGGCCAUAAGUUUUGGAGAGAUUUGUAAGAGAUUGAUGAGGUUUGUCCCCAAGUUUGAGGAUGUUGCCGAUGAUUGGAAAGGGGCGGGGGCCUGGAGGGAGGCUGGCUGUACUGGGUUUCCGGCCAGUUGGACUGAGCUUGAGGAGAUGAAUGCAGGUCCACACAAAGGAAAGCAAAAGCAAAACUGUA